GGUGGCUCAGUGGUAGAGCGCUUGCCUUGCAAGCUUGAGGCCCUGGGUUCAAUUCCUCAGCACCA
rfam:Dipodomys ordii contig_12957, whole genome shotgun sequence.